rnacentral:rRNA from 1 species
GCAGUAUCCUAACUGUGCUAAGGUAGCAUAAUCAUUAGUCUUUUAAUUGGAGACUGGUAUGAAUGGCUUAACGAGAAAUUGACUUUUUUUGUUAUAAAAAUUGAAUUUAAUUUUUUAGUGAAAAAGCUAAAAUAAUUCAGAAAGACGAGAAGACCCUAUAGAGUUUUAUGUUAUAUAAGAUUCAUUUUUAAUAGAUUUUUAAAAAAAUGAGUUUUAAAAAACAUUUUGUUGGGGCGACAUUUAGAUAUAAGAAACUCUUUAUUUUUAUAAUUUUAGUGAAAAUUUCAAUUGAUCCUUUAAAAAAGAUCAAAAGAAAAAAUUACCUUAGGGAUAACAGCGUAAUCUUUUUUGAGAGUUCUAAUCGACAAAAAGGUUUGCGACCUCGAUGUUGGACUAAAAUUUAGACAGGGUGCAGUAGUUCUGUUUUAAGGUCUGUUCGACCUAUA